UAAUAAAAACUUGGUUUAUAAACUUAUAUGCGAAAAUUUUAAACUCUUUUCAUCUAAAUAAGGUGCAAGUUUCAGUACAUUUAUUCCAUCGGAGAGUUUUGCAAAGCAAAAUAAAAUUCAAAAAUCUGCAGAGAAAAGAUAUGGUGCAAGUUCCAGCACAUUUACUCCUUCGGAGUGUUUUGCAAGUCAAAAUGAACGUCAAAAAUCUACAGAUAUUAGAUAUGGUGCAAGUUCCAGUAAAUUUAUUUCAUCAGAGAGUUUGGCAAAGCAAAACAAAAGUCAAAAAUCUUCACAUAUUGGACAUGGUAUUUAUGCAGUU